GAGCGAUGAUGAAAUACGUGCUUGCAUGUGAUGGUUGGGUCCAUCACCGACGUCUGAUUACAAGACGAAAGGUAGCACAUCUGAGCUC